rnacentral:rRNA from 1 species
GAUGAACGCUGGCGGCGUGCCUAAUACAUGCGAGUCGAGCGAACAGACGAGGAGCUUGCUCCUCUGACGUUAGCGGCGGAGGGGUGAGUAAUACGUGGAUAACCUACCUAUAAGACUGGGAUAACUUCGGGAAACCGGAGCUAAUACCGGAUAAUAUAUUGAACCGCAUGGUUCAAUAGUGAAAGACGGUUUUGCUGUCACUUAUAGAUGGAUCCGCGCCGCAUUAGCUAGUUGGUAAGGUAACGGCUUACCAAGGCAACGAUGCGUAGCCGACCUGAGAGGGUGGUCGACCACACUGGAACUGAGACACGGUCCAGACUCCUACGGGAGGCAGCAGUAGGGAAUCUUCCGCAAUGGGCGAAAGCCUGACGGAGCAACGCCGCGUGAGUGAUGAUGGUCUUCGGAUCGUAAAACUCUGUUAUUAGGGAAGAACAAAUGUGUAAGUAACUAUGCACGUCUUGACGGUACCUAAUCAGAAAGCCACGGCUAACUACGUG